rnacentral:rRNA from 1 species
CCUACGGGGGGCAGCAGUGAGGAAUAUUGGUCAAUGGGCUUACGCCUGAACCAGCCAAGUCGCGUGAGGGAAGACUGCCCUAUGGGUUGUAAACCUCUUUUGUCAGGGAGCAACGCCGGCUACGUGUAGCCGGACUGAGAGUACCUGAAGAAAAAGCAUCGGCUAACUCGGUGCCAGCAGCCGCGGUUAUACGGAGGAUGCGAGGGUUAUCCGGUUUUAUUGGGUUUAGGGGGUGCGGAGGCGGAAUGCCAAGUCAGGGGUAAAAUCGCGGGGCACAAGCUCGCUCCGCCGUUGAAACUGGCGUUCUGGAGUGGGCGAGAAGUAUGCGGAAUGCGUGGUGUAGCGGUGAAAUGCAUAGAUAUCACGCAGAACUCCGAUUGCGAAGGCAGCAUACCGGCGCCCAACUGACGCUGAAGCACGAAAGCGUGGGUAUCGAACAGGAUUAGAUACCCGAGUAGUC